GGCGACGUAGCUCAGCAGGUGAGAGCGCUCGACUCAUAAUCGAGAGGUCGACAGUUCGAUUCUGUCCGUCGCUAC
rnacentral:tRNA from 2 species